rnacentral:rRNA from 1 species
AUCAUGGCUCAGGAUGAACGCUAGCUACAGGCUUAACACAUGCAAGUCGAGGGGCAGCAUGGUCUUAGCUUGCUAAGGCUGAUGGCGACCGGCGCACGGGUGAGUAACACGUAUCCAACCUGCCGUCUACUCUUGGCCAGCCUUCUGAAAGGAAGAUUAAUCCAGGAUGGGAUCAUGAGUUCACAUGUCCGCAUGAUUAAAGGUAUUUUCCGGUAGACGAUGGGGACG